rnacentral:rRNA from 1 species
AUGAACGCUGGCGGCGUGCCUAAUACAUGCAAGUCGAGCGAACGGACGAGAAGCUUGCUUCUCUGAUGUUAGCGGCGGACGGGUGAGUAACACGUGGAUAACCUACCUAUAAGACUGGGAUAACUUCGGGAAACCGGAGCUAAUACCGGAUAAUAUUUUGAACCGCAUGGUUCAAAAGUGAAAGACGGUCUUGCUGUCACUUAUAGAUGGAUCCGCGCUGCAUUAGCUAGUUGGUAAGGUAACGGCUUACCAAGGCAACGAUGCAUAGCCGACCUGAGAGGGUGAUCGGCCACGCUGGAACUGAGACACGGUCCAGACUCCUACGGGAGGCAGCAGUAGGGAAUCUUCCGCAAUGGGCGAAAGCCUGACGGAGCAACGCCGCGUGAGUGAUGAAGGUCUUCGGAUCGUAAAACUCUGUUAUUAGGGAAGAACAGAUGUGUAAGUAACUGUGCACAUCUUGACGGUACCUAAUCAGAAAGCCACGGCUAACUACGU